rnacentral:rRNA from 1 species
GAUCAUGGCUCGGGAUGAACGCUAGCUACAGGCUUAACACAUGCAAGUCGCGGGGCAGCAUGAAGGAUGCUUGCAUCCUUUGAUGGCGACCGGCGCACGGGUGAGUAACGCGUAUCCAACCUGCCUGUUACCACGGCACAGCCCGUCGAAAGGCGGAUUAAUGCCGUAUGUGGUCUUGAAAGGGCAUCUGAUCAUGACUAAAGGUUCAGCGGUAACGGAUGGGGAUGCG